rnacentral:rRNA from 1 species
CCGGGGAAUAUUGGCAAUGGGGGAAACCCUGCUCCAGCGACGCCGCGUGUGUGAAGAAGGCCUGCGGGUUGUAAAGCACUUUUAGUGGGGAUGAAAAGCUCAGGGCUAAUACCCCUGGGUCUUGACCUAACCCACAGAAAAAGCACCGGCUAACUCUGUGCCAGCAGCCGCGGUAAGACGGAGGGUGCUAGCGUUGUUCGGAAUGACUGGGCGUAAAGGGCGCGUAGGCGGCUUUUAUUAGUUGGGCGUGAAAGCCCCGGGCUUAACCUGGGAACUGCGUUCAAUACUGUAAGGCUUGAGGAUGGAAGAGGAGAGUGGAAUUCCUAGUGUAGAGGUGAAAUUCGUAGAUAUUAGGAGGAACACCAGAGGCGAAGGCGGCUCUCUGGUCCGUUACUGACGCUGAGGCGCGAAAGCGUGGGGAGCAAACAGGAUUAGAUACCCUGGUAGUCCACGCCGUAAACGAUGAGUGCUAGACGUCGGGCUUUUGGCUCGGUGUUGCAGCUAACGCAUUAAGCACUCCGCCUGGGGAGUACGGUCCAGAUAAU